rnacentral:tRNA from 1 species
GGCCUCGUAACUCAGUUGGCUAGAGCGUUGCCUGUACUAAACCCUUCCACUUGCUGGCAUGGGUUCGAAACCCAUCGAGGCCA